NNNNNNNCUUUAUACUUCUCGAGGCAACUGGACAGGCCAUGUGAUCUGAUACCAGCAUGGUCGAGCUAAGAGCUCCCUCUCGGAUGCGUUUCUCCUUCCCUGGAAAGACCACCUGUUUUAUGCCUUCCCUCCGUUUCUUCUGGUCCACAAGGUACUGUUCAAAUUGCGUAGAGACCAGGCACAGGUAAUUCUGGUCGCUCCAGCGUGGCCGAGACAACAUUGGUACACCACACUGUUGGAACUCUCGGUUCCAGACACCGAUCCCGCUUCCAUUAUGUCCAGAUCUCAUCUCUCAGGACCACGGCCGGCUGCGUCACCCCGACCUGCAAUCUCUUCACCUCACGGCGUGGCUGCUCCAUGGUUCACCCAGGCAGAGCAACAAUGCUCACUCUCGGUCCAACAGAUUCUGUUGAGCAGUAGGAAGCCCUCAACACGAGCCACGUACUUGGCCAAGUGGAAGCAGUUCUCCUGUUGGUGCGAACAACGAGCCACGUCCCCGUUACAGGCACCUAUUCCUCUCAUAUUGGAAUGUCUCCUCUCCCUAAAACAGCAGGGGUUGGCGAUAUCUUCAAUUAGAGUUCACCUGGCCGCUAUAUCAGCCUUUCUCCCAGGGGAACUCGCGUCCUCGGUAUUCUCUAACCCGAUGGUCGCUAGAUUCCUCAAGGGCUUAGACCGGAUGUACCCACAACAACGUCAGCCCAUUCCGACGUGGGAUCUCAACCUGGUUCUCUCCAAGCUCACAGGUCCUCCAUUCGAGCCACUGGCCACCUGUUCACUUCUGUACCUAUCCUGGAAGACAGCCUUCCUCGUAGCCAUCACCUCAGCAAGGCACGUUUCUGAACUCAGGGCGCUUACAUCCAAGCCCCCUUACACAGUUUUCCAUAAGGAUAAAGUGCAGCUUCGUCCACAUCCUGCCUUUCUCCCUAAGGUGGUUUCUCCAUUUCAUAUCAACCAGGAUAUAUUUCUCCCGGUCUUUCAUCCUAAACCACAUGCUACUCGCCAGGAUCAACGUUUGCAUUCUCUGGAUGUACGCAGGGCCCUGGCUUUCUAUAUUGACCGCACAAGGCACUUUAGAAAGACGACGCAACUCUUCGUUGCAGUGGCCGACCGAAUGAAAGGCUUACCGGUCUCCUCACAAUGCCUAUCCUCCUGGAUUACGUCUUGCAUCCGGACUUGCUAUAACCUGGCAGGUGUCCCAGUACCACACCUCACCGCUCACUCCACGAGGGCACAAGCUUCCUCGACGGCUUUCCUGGCGCAAGUUCCGAUCCAGGACAUUUGUAGAGCUGCGGUUUGGUCGUCAGUCCACACGUUUACAGAACACUAUGCACUAGUGCAGCAGUCCAGGGACGAUGCUGCCUUCGGAUCAGCGGUUUUGCACACAGCAAUGUCUCACUCCGACCCCACCACCUAAGUUGGGCUUGGUA
rnacentral:lncRNA from 1 species